AAGAAGAAGAUUGGCAACAGAUGUUAGCUCAGGGCUAAUCUACCUCACUAAAAAGCAUUAAAAAAAAAGAUAGUAAUAAAAUUCUUUACAUAUUAAAAACAAAGUGUUUUUAACCUUCUAUACCUUUAUGCUUCCAAUUCUUUUUCAGACUGAAUUCUCUCUACAAACACAUGAUUGCUUAAUACCAGUGUCUGAGUUCCCUGUAAUUUCCAGAUCUCUGGGUUUCAUUGUUAAAUAGCACUGUCCAAUAUGGUAGCCACUAGUCAGUGGCUGUUGAGCACUUGAAAUGUGGCUGGUCUGACUUGAGAUGUAUUGUAAGUGUAAAAUAUGUAGUUGAUCUCAAAGACUUAGUACGUGAAAUGGACAGAUUCUAAGAUGCCUCACACCCUUGUGGAAUCUCCUCCCUUUUGAAUGAGUGUGGGACCUGUGACUUGCUUUUAACCAAUAGAAUAUGGCAAAGAUGAUAGGAUGUCAAGUCCACAGUUAUGUUAUAUAGAUUGUAACUGUCAUCUUGCUAACAGACUCUAUUGCCUCUCCUUUUCUGGCUUUGAUGGAGAGACCCGUGUGGCAAGGAACUGAGAGUGGAUUCCAGCUGACAGCCAGCAGCAAGGUGAGACCUCUAGUCUGAUAACUCACAAAGAACUGAAUCCUGCCUUCAACCAUGUGGUCUUGGAAGAGGAUCUUUCCCCAUUGCAGUCUCAGGCAUGUGCUGCCACCCACUCGCCAGGGAAUUGCUGCUGUCCAGAGCUGUUGAUGCUACAACCCUUCAGUGUGUUGGGACAGAAGAAGUGCUGAGAAUAACUAACAGCAUAAGGGGCGCUGCUGCUUUCAACCUACCCUAAAGCGAACGACGUGGGAAAACAAAGGGACAUGGAAAUAGGACUAAGAAUCAUGCGAGUGUGAAAAAUACAUGCACUUUCCCAUUCUUCCAAUUUCAUCAUUUCCAAGCAGAGGAUCAUUGAGGGUCCACAAGCAAAUGGCAAACGAUGCAGCACUGUUGCACCCGGAGAUUUUUUCCUGUGAACUGGGGGUGGGAUUUCAAUUACGCUGGAAUUUAAUUACCCGGAUUAGGCCUCGACUCCGCCUCCUGCCUGGGAAUGGAAGGGGAAUCUUCAAAAGAUCCUUAUAGGAAAGGAGCCGCCUCAGCUGGGGCCUUCCCCCCAGGCAAGCUCUGCCCAACCCCCAGCUCCUCUUCCCCGACAGCCUCCAGAACUCGAGGCCGCAGGCUGACACAAUUAGGAAACCAAUGCUUUGCUGGGUGAUUCCUCAUUGUUUUUUCUACAGCUGAGCCCUUCCUUUUUCUUCAUUUUCUGUGAAAGUUUUUUUGUGUGUGUGCCGUCCGGACUCGAGAGAAUUGGUCUCGCUGUUGUCAUAGGAUGGAUGAACUGAGGCAAAACUAGAAUUUCUGUGGAAGAACCUGUGAACGGUGGAAGGAGGGCUCCUAAAAAGGAGGAGGGCAAUUCCGAGGCCCGGGGCUGGAGAAAGUCGGCUUUCCACGCGCUCGCUUUGUGGGAUUCGAUUUUAUCUAUUUGUGAAUGAAUAAUGGUACAAAAUUAAAACAGUACAAACCAA